rnacentral:rRNA from 1 species
CCUACGGGGGGCAGCAGUGAGGAAUAUUGGUCAAUGGACGAGAGUCUGAACCAGCCAAGUAGCGUGAAGGAUGACUGCCCUAUGGGUUGUAAACUUCUUUUAUAUGGGAAUAAAAUGUUCCACGUGUGGGAUUUUGUAUGUACCAUAUGAAUAAGGAUCGGCUAACUCCGUGCCAGCAGCCGCGGUAAUACGGAGGGUCCGAGCGUUAUCCGGAUUUAUUGGGUUUAAAGGGAGCGUAGGUGGAUUGUUAAGUCAGUUGUGAAAGUUUGCGGCUCAACCGUAGAAUUGCAGUUGAAACUGGCAGUCUAGAGUACAGUAGAGGUGGGCGGAAUGCGUGGUGUAGCGGUGAAAUGCUUAGAUAUCACGAAGAACUCCGAUUGCGAAGGCAGCUCACUGGACUGCAACUGACACUGAGGCUCGAAAGUGUGGGUAUCAAACAGGAUUAGAUACCCGGGUAGUC